rnacentral:rRNA from 1 species
AACGAACGCUGGCGGCAUGCCUAACACAUGCAAGUCGAACGAGACCUUCGGGUCUAGUGGCGCACGGGUGCGUAACGCGGGGGAACCUGCCCUUAGGUUCGGAAUAACUCCCCGAAAGGGGUGCUAAUACCGGAUAAUGUCUUCGGACCAAAGAUUUAUCGCCUUUGGAUGGGCCCGCGUUGGAUUAGCUAGUUGGUAGGGUAAAAGCCUACCAAGGCGACGAUCCAUAGCUGGUCUGAGAGGAUGAUCAGCCACACUGGGACUGAGACACGGCCCAGACUCCUACGGGAGGCAGCAGUGGGGAAUAUUGGAAAAUGGGCGAAAGCCUGAUCCAGCAAUGCCGCGUGAGUGAUGAAGGCCUUAGGGUUGUAAAGCUCUUUUACCCGGGAGGAUAAUGACAGUACCGGGAGAAUAAGCUCCGGCUAACUCCGUG